rnacentral:rRNA from 1 species
UGCAAGUCGAGCGGCAGCGCGGGGGCAACCCUGGCGGCGAGCGGCGAACGGGUGAGUAAUGCAUCGGAACGUACCCUGGAGUGGGGGAUAACGCCGCGAAAGCGGCGCUAAUACCGCAUAUGCUCUGAGGAGGAAAGUGGGGGACCGCAAGGCCUCACGCUCUGGGAGCGGCCGAUGUCCGAUUAGCUAGUUGGUGGGGUAAAGGCUUACCAAGGCGACGAUCGGUAGCUGGUCUGAGAGGAUGAUCAGCCACACUGGGACUGAGACACGGCCCAGACUCCUACGGGAGGCAGCAGUGGGGAAUUUUGGACAAUGGGGGCAACCCUGAUCCAGCCAUGCCGCGUGAGUGAAGAAGGCCUUCGGGUUGUAAAGCUCUUUUGGUCGGGAAGAAAGUGCCUUGCCUAAUAGGUGGGGUAUUUGACGGUACCGGCAGAAUAAGCACCGGCUAACUACGUGCCAGCAGCCGCGGUAAUACGUAGGGUGCGAGCGUUAAUCGGAAUUACUGGGCGUAAAGCGUGCGCAGGCGGUUCGUUAAGUCUGAUGUGAAAGCCCCGGGCUCAACCUGGGAA